rnacentral:rRNA from 1 species
UUACGGUCAUAUCACGUUGAGACAUCAGUUCCCGUAUGAUCACCGAAGUUAAGCAACGUCGAGUCUGGUCAGUACCUAGUUAGGUGACCGCUUGGGAAUACCAGGUGCUGUAA